UACGUAGGGUGCGAGCGUUGUCCGGAAUUAUUGGGCGUAAAGAGCUUGUAGGCGGUCUGUCGCGUCUGCUGUGAAAAUCCGGGGCUCAACCCCGGACUUGCAGUGGGUACGGGCAGACUAGAGUGUGGUAGGGGAGACUGGAAUUCCUGGUGUAGCGGUGAAAUGCGCAGAUAUCAGGAGGAACACCGAGGGCGAAGGCAGGUCUCUGGGCCACUACUGACGCUGAGAAGCGAAAGCAUGGGGAGCGAACAGG
rnacentral:rRNA from 1 species